UACAGAGUUGACUAAAUAUCAUAUGUAGUGU
rnacentral:piRNA from 1 species